UACGUAGGGGGCGAGCGUUGUUCGGAAUUACUGGGCGUAAAGGGCGCGUAGGCGGCCGAUCAAGUUAGAUGUGAAAGUCCUGGGCUUAACCUGGGGACUGCAUUUGAUACUGAUUGGCUUGAAUUCGGGAGAGGAUAGCGGAAUUCCCAGUGUAGAGGUGAAAUUCGUAGAUAUUGGGAAGAACACCGGUGGCGAAGGCGGCUAGCUGGACCGACAUUGACGCUGAGGCGCGAAAGCGUGGGGAGCAAACAGG
rnacentral:rRNA from 1 species